AAAGAAAAAGAAAAACAAAACAAAUUAAAAUUUUGCGUUUGAUUUUUGCAAUCAGGUAAUAUCUGGAAAUACGCCCUGCCUGGCCUGGUCAUUUGCCGGAACCGGAUGGUUUUUCCAACCAGCAACACAUCCAGAAUAAAGGCGACUUUGCCAUCACAUUCGCCGUCGGAAUUGCUGCGUAACUUUGCGAUAUGUGGCUGGAAAAACACCCGGAAAAAACCUGGUGCUACGGCUGGAUCCGGAUUAAAAAGUAGUAGUGUAACAUUAACUGAAUAUGAAUAAAGUUUGAAUAAAAGUUAA